rnacentral:rRNA from 1 species
UACGUAGGUGGCAAGCGUUGUCCGGAAUUAUUGGGCGUAAAGCGCGCGCAGGCGGUCCUUUAAGUCUGAUGUGAAAGCCCACGGCUCAACCGUGGAGGGUCAUUGGAAACUGGGGGACUUGAGUACAGAAGAGAAGAGUGGAAUUCCACGUGUAGCGGUGAAAUGCGUAGAGAUGUGGAGGAACACCAGUGGCGAAGGCGGCUCGCUGGGCCGGACCUGACGCUGAGACGCGAAGGCGUGGGGAGCGAACGGG